GAUGAAGAACGUAGCGAAAUGCGAUAAGUAAUGUGAAUUGCAGAAUUCAGUGAAUCAUCGAAUCUUUGAACGCACCUUGCGCCCUUUGGCCAUUCCGAAGGGCAUGCCUGUUUGAGUAUCAUGAACACCUCAACUCCUCAUGGUCUUCUAUGAUGAGCUUGGACUUUGGGGGCUUGCUGGCCCAUUUGGUCAGCUCCUCUCAAAUGAAUCAGCCUACCAGUGUUUGGUGGCACCACAGGUGUGAUAACAAUCUACGCUUGAGGUUUUCCACCAGGCAACCUUCAGUAAUUGGGGUUCACUGGGGCUCACAAAUGUCUUUCUUCAGUGAGGACAGCUCUUUGAAUGUUUGAUCUCAAAUCAGGUAGGACUACCCGCUGAACUUAAGCAUAUCAAUAAGCGGAGGA
rnacentral:misc_RNA from 1 species